CUCCGGUGAUCCCGCCCGGACCCGACUGCUAUCGGAUUGAGAUUUAGCCAUGCGAGUCGAACGUCCCCCUGUUGCGGGGGGCGUGGCGUACGGCUCAGUAACACGUAGUCAACCUGCCCUGGAGACAAGGACAACCCCGGGAAACUGGGAUUAAUCCUUGAUAGGUCAUCUCAUCUGGAAGGAGAGAUGGCUUAAAGGGGUACGCGGGCUUCUUCCGCGAAUCUGCUCCAGGAUGGGACUGCGUCCGAUCAGGCUGUUGGUGGGGUAAUGGCCCACCAAACCUGUAACCGGUACGGGCCUUGAGAGAGGUGGCCCGGAGAUGGACACUGAGAUAAGGGUCCAGGUCCUACGGGGCGCAGCAGGCGCGAAACCUUCGCAAUGCGCGAAAGCGUGACGAGGUUAAUCCGAGUGGUCCCCGCUGAGGGGAUCUUUUGCCGGCUGUAAAAAGGCCGGUGAAUAAGGGGAGGGCAAGUCUGGUGUCAGCCGCCGCGGUAAUACCAGCUCCUCGAGUGGUCGGGGCGAUUAUUGGGCCUAAAGCAUCCGUAGCCUGUUCUGUAGGUCCUCUGUUAAAUCCAACGGCUUAACCGUUGGCCCGCAGAGGAUACCGCAGGACUAGGAGGCGGGAGAGGUGGACGGUACUCCACGUGUAGGGGUAAAAUCCUUUGAUCCGUGGAAGACCACCAGUGGCGAAGGCGGUCCACCAGAACGCGCUCGACGGUGAGGGAUGAAAGCUGGGGGAGCGAACCGGAUUAGAUACCCGGGUAGUCCCAGCCGUAAACGAUGCGAGCUAGAUGAUCCGGUCGCAAAUCGCGAUCGGAGUGUCGCAGGGAAGCCGUUAAGCUCGCCGCCUGGGGAGUACGGUCGCAAGACUGAAACUUAAAGGAUUGGCGGGGGAGCA
rnacentral:rRNA from 1 species